UGCAGUCGAGCGGCAGCGACAACAUUGAUUCUUCGGAGGAUUUGUUGGGCGGCGAGCGGCGGACGGGUGAGUAAUGGCUGGGAACCUGCCCUGACGUGGGGGAUAACAGUUGGAAACGACUGCUAAUACCGCAUGAUGUCUUCGGACCAAAGAGGAGGACCUUCGGGCUUCUCGCGUCGGGAUGGGCCCAGUUGGGAUUAGCUAGUUGGUGAGGUAAUGGCUCACCAAGGCGACGAUCCCUAGCUGGUUUGAGAGGAUGAUCAGCCACACUGGAACUGAGACACGGUCCAGACUCCUACGGGAGGCAGCAGUGGGGAAUAUUGCACAAUGGGCGCAAGCCUGAUGCAGCCAUGCCGCGUGUGUGAAGAAGGCCUUCGGGUUGUAAAGCACUUUCAGCAGUGAGGAAGGCGUAGUGGUUAAUACCCGCUGCGCUUGACGUUAGCUGCAGAAGAAGCACCGGCUAACUCCGUGCCAGCAGCCGCGGUAAUACGGAGGGUGCGAGCGUUAAUCGGAAUUACUGGGCGUAAAGCGCAUGCAGGCGGUUUGUUAAGCAGGAUGUGAAAGCCCCGGGCUCAACCUGGGAACCGCAUUUUGAACUGGCAGGCUAGAGUCUUGUAAGGGGGGGGUAGAAUUUCAGGUGUAGCGGUGAAAUGCGUUAGAGAUCUGAAGGA
rnacentral:rRNA from 1 species